GUGCCAGCCGCCGCGGUAAUACGAGAGGCCCAAACGUUAUUCGGAUUUACUGGGCUUAAAGAGUUCGUAGGCGGCGCGGAAAGUAGGGUGUGAAAGCCCUCGGCUCAACCGAGGAAUUGCGCCCUAAACUGCCGUGCUAGAGGAACCUAGAGGUGAGCAGAACUGAUGGUGGAGCGGUGAAAUGCGUUGAUAUCAUCAGGAAUACCGGAGGCGAAGGCGGCUCACUGGGGGUUUUCUGACGCUGAGGAACGAAAGCCAGGGGAGCGAACGGGAUUAGAUACCCGUGUAGUCC
rnacentral:rRNA from 1 species